UCCGUAGGCGGGCAAUUAAGUCAGGGGUGAAAUCCCACAGCUCAACUGUGGAACUGCCUUUGAUACUGGUUGUCUUGAGUUACAGUGAAGUAGAUAGAAUAAGUAGUGUAGCGGUGAAAUGCAUAGAUAUUACUUAGAAUACCGAUUGCGAAGGCAGUCUACUAACUGUAUACUGACGCUAAUGGACGAAAGCGUGGGGAGCGAACAGGAUUAGAUACCCUGGUAGUCC
rnacentral:rRNA from 1 species